rnacentral:rRNA from 1 species
GUGUCAGCCGCCGCGGUAAUACGUAGGGAGCAAGCGUUGUCCGGAUUUAUUGGGCGUAAAGAGCUCGUAGGCGGCUUGGUAAGUCGGAUGUUAAAUCUCCAGGCUCAACCUGGAGUCGCCAUCCGAUACUGCCAUGGCUAGAGUCCGGUAGGGGCCCACGGAACUCCUGGUGUAGCGGUGAAAUGCGCAGAUAUCAGGAAGAACACCGGUGGCGAAGGCGGUGGGCUGGGCCGGUACUGACGCUGAGGAGCGAAAGCGUGGGGAGCGAACAGGAUUAGAAACCCCCGUAGUCC